UCUGCGGAUUUAUUGUGUAAAUUUAGUUACAUUUUUGAACAUUAAUGUUUCAUAUUAUAUAAUUGUCAAUGAAAAAGAUAAACAUUUUUGAUUCUCAGAGAUUAAGAGUUCUU